GCUUGGUUUUGGGAACUAAAAAAUGAAAAAAGGAAAAGCCAUAAUCUUGAAAGGCAACAAGAGAGAAAACUGCUAACAGGAUCUUGAUUAAAUUUCUCCCUCUUAGAGAAUGUUGGACCGACGACACAAGACCUCAGACUUGUGUUAUUCUAGCAGCUGAACACACCCCAGGCUCUUCUGACCGGCAGUGGCUCUGGAAGCAGUCUGGUCUAUAGAGUUAUGGAUUCACUACCAGAUUCUACUGUAUGCUCUGACAACUAUGACCACAAUGGUCCACCCACAAAUGAAUUAUCAGGAGUGAACCCAGAGGCACGUAUGAAUGAAAGGUGAGUUAUGCAUAUGUGUGUCUUUAUUUAUCGAAUUAUAACUGAGCAUAGAAGUAUUCACACACACAGGCACAUAAACAAAUAUAUCCAUCCAUCCAUCCA
rnacentral:lncRNA from 1 species